UUUUCCAGCAUACCCGGAAGCUACAGAGAUGGAGAGAGAGGAACAGAACAAACAAACAAUGCGCUCAUCCACAACGUUGUUAAGGAGGAGUGAUGAAUAUGUGUGUGCGUUAAAGAACCAAAUGCUGCCCGCGGCCAGUGACGGACUUCUGCGUCACAUCCCCAAAGAAUGUAAGAGCCUACCAGACAUUCUAAACUCCAAAUCACCUUGUGCAGUGCGAACGGGUCUAACCAACCGUUUCCAAUCGUAGUAUUCUCUGCACAGCGUCAGCUAGGGCAGACUAUGCGGCAAAAGAUUAGCUGAAACAACCUGAUUGAAGAAAGAGAUUGUACUGUUGAUAUCAAAACUGAACGCAGUUCAUGUAGCGAAUUGACGCUUGUUUACAUCACAAUGGGUCACGGUUUUAUGGCCGCGCAUAAUACGUCACAAGAAAGGCGUGUAAGGGACCGGACUGGUGUUAUCUUCCCCCUGGUUGUAAUUUAUAACUGUCAAAUCAAAUCUAUGUCGCUAUCUAUCUCAAAUGGCUGUUGAGGACUCUUUGAUAAUCACAUUUGAGGCACAUGUCAGCAGGUGGCAGUGUCUUCAAAUGCAGAAGUUGAUCCCCUGUGCAACAGUUGAGCAACUUUGAUGUUGUAACAUUUAGGGGUUAGCAAGCCUGCCAUCCUAUUUCUCCAAUUCAUCUUCUUAUAAACGGAUUUUAAACCUAACCACACUGCUGAUCUAAUGGCCCAACCUUAAAUUAAGACCAAAACGCGUAUUUUGGUUUUCAUACAUUUUUACGAUAUAGCCAAUUUGUACUUUGUGGUUGUGUUAUCUAGUGGGAAUCUCUAGCUAGUGUUAUAUAAAUAUUCAUACACAUGGCUCAUAUAUUAUACAGCGCUAAGCUAAUCUGCCUGACUCAAGUCAUUUCUUGUACCCCUGCUAAAACAGGAACCAGGACACAUACCCAGCAAUAAACUAACCCCUCAGCUCUGUUGUCUCAGCUCUGUUGUUUCAGGACCCCUCUGAUCUCCGGUCUCACUGUCCCCUGACACACACAUACCCAGCAAUAAACUACCCCCCUCAGCUCUCUGUUGUUUCAAGACCCCUCUGAUCUCCGGUCUCACUGUCCCCUGACACACACAUACCCAGCAAUAAACUACCCCCCUCAGCUCUCUGUUGUUUCAAGACCCCUCUGAUCUCCGGUCUCACUGUCCCCUGACACACACAUACCCAGCAAUAAACUACCCCCCUCAGCUCUCUGUUGUUUCAAGACCCCUCUGAUCUCCGGUCUCCCUGUACCCUGACACACACAUACCCAGCAAUAAACUACCCCCCUCAGCUCUCUGUUGUUUCAAGACCCCUCUGAUCUCCGGUCUCCCUGUACCCUGACACACACAUACCCAGCAAUAAACUACCCCCUCAGCUCUCUGUUGUUUCAAGACCCCUCUGAUCUCCGGUCUCCCUGUACCCUGACACACACAUACCCAGCAAUAAACUACCCCCCUCAGCUCUCUGUUGUUUCAAGACCCCUCUGAUCUCCGGUCUCCCUGUACCCUGACACACACAUACCCAGCAAUAAACUACCCCCCUCAGCUCUCUGUUGUUUCAAGACCCCUCUGAUCUCCGGUCUCCCUGUACCCUGACACACACAUACCCAGCAAUAAACUACCCCCCUCAGCUCUCUGUUGUUUCACGACCCCAUUUGCUCCCUUAUCUCAUGACUCCGGGACACACACGGACAUUCCAUCGCACGAACACACACACCUAGCCAUAACGGGACACACAAACAUCUUCUUGCAUAAACACACACACACACACACUCCACUCCCCUUUCUACUGGGCAGGAGCCAGGAUGGGACGACUUCACGGGGCACCAAUAAGGCUCCUGCACAGGCUCGGUCAGGACCCGCCUCCAACCUUCACCAACCAGUCAGAAGACAGAACUACAAGAAUCAACCUACGUCAUUCUAUGUACAAAAUCUGUUGCACACUCUGUUUAGGGAUCCUUGUCAGCUGCCUCCUUCUGAGCCAUAUGACUAGGUCCGUGCACGUUUAAUUAGAGGACAAGAUAUCUUUUACAUAAUAAACUGCCUUUUUGCUAUACUUGAUUCCACUCUGUCCAGCGUCUUGAUUUGGUCUCUCUCUCCGGUAGCUAAUCAUCAACAAAACUUGGUAGCAGAGGAUGGUUUAAACAUCUAAAUUCGAUCUAUGACAAGUUGAUGUGAGGGGAGACAAAUCAUUGGGUGCAAACCAGACGGAAGAGUGACCUGUCGCCAGGAGACAUCGGCCAUUCAACUUGCCUCAGGAAACUGAUCACAGAGCUCGACAUAAUAGCACUCUCUACCCAGGUUCACAAGGUCCAGGAGGGGGAGCUACCAGGAGACACGCCACCACUGAAGGUAAAAGUUGGUGACUGGGUGAGGGUUAAAGUCCACAAGAGAAUGUGGUUGGAACCCAGGUGGACUGGACCGUACGAAGUGAAGGAGGUUACUUCACACUCAGUCCAGGUCAAAGGUAAAUCAGGCGCACCUUGGCACCACCUUACACAUUGCACCCCAGCCCCAACUCCUUCCAGAACACUGACUGAAGUCAGAGCUGAUUUGAACAGCCUAAAUUUGGUACCAAAUGGAGACACUCCUGACUCAGGUGAUGGAGCAUCAAACUCCACCUCCCCUGAGAAAGGAACCUCGCCCAGUUAAAGGGACAUCUCUCUCUCCUUGUGCGAGGCUAGGACUAUCUGGGCCCUUGUUUGUGAUCCUGCAAAUUGCUUACAGUGGGACGCAGUCUACCCAGUAGUCUCCGCCAUAGCGGAAAAACCAAAAUCAUAGCUAAAAAAAACUAAAUGUGGUCGAUGAAAGAAGGGAGUGGUGUUCUAACCAAGUGCUGAGAAAUAAGGUAGAUUUAUUUUGUUCUUUUAAUUAAUUUACACAAGUACUUCCCGGAUAUUGAUUUUGGUUUGAUUGUUCAGAUAACACCAUUGAAAUUAAACAGGAGGUUAAGGUAUACUAACAUUAGAAUCUGUUUUCAUUAUGGGGAACAAUGAAAGGCCCGCAGAAUGGACUGCAGGCUGAGUUUUUAUGUUAAAGGGACAGUAUACAUUUAUCACAGGUGUGUGUGUGUCUAAUGGAUGGGUAUUUAAGGAGUAUUUUGGGGAGAAAAUUUGGAGAAACACGAAUAAAAACAUGAAACAUCAAGAGAUUUAAAACAAACGAUGUGAAGGGAUUAUCAGAAUUAUUGGGUGUCGUUGUAGUAGUACAAGUUUGUGUUAAGGGGAUUUCCCUGUUCCCAGUGACAAGGUAUUUUAAAGGUGUACACUCACAUAUGCUGGUAUGAGUUUUAAUUAAAACAAGUAAAUAACGUAUUGGGAAUAGAGUCGUAAUUAAAAUGCUAAAUCAAAGACGAGACAGUUACUCAGAUCAAAAUGAAUUAUAAAUAAAAACGAAGAGACAAUUACGAUUUAUGCCCAUCGAAAUGUUUUUAUGAAAUUAGCGAAUUAAGAGAUAUUGGUUGGGGUGGUAAAUUAUAAUUCCGGAUUUGAACAGAUGUGAUAAAUUAGGUUUGGUUUAUCGAACAACAAUUAUUUACAAUUCAUUGAAAGUCGUUACGGAUUGAGCCAAGGUUGAGCGCUUGUUGAUGACAUCACUCGCGAGGCACUGUUGUCGCCACGGACUGGGGGUAACGGAGAAAAUUGUUUGUGUCUUUUAGAAGGAAAAUGCGUGCAUUAUUGUUUUGUCACUUUUCAGAAGGUGAUAAAAAAGUCCAAAUACCUACUUGUUUGAUUCCUAUGAGACUGGUUAUUCUAGGAGUUGAUUCAACUUAAUUAAGCAUUAGUUCUGGUGUGUUUAAGUAGGAUUCUUCAUACCGGGACGGAUGGAAGUUAUCUAAAGUAUGUGAGUUGAAGGAGUCAAGGAAAAAACGCGUUUAUAUUUGUAUUAAAUAUCUGGGAUUAGGAUUUCUUACACUGAGAAAUGUACGACAUUUGCGGCAGAGGGGAAGAAGUAAUACAAUAACGUUAUCGGUUAAUUGUAUCUAAGGAUGGCAUGUUCAUUUAAGUAAUUAUAUACAUUGACGUUGUUUAAAAUUUAUGAUUAAUGAUUUGAGUUAAAGGGGAAUCAUCAUUAGGUUUAGUUUAUAGUUCACUUUUGAGUUUAUGAAUCGGAAUUAGCAUAGUGAAUGCUAGUUAGGAGUGUUGUGUUCUUCUGGGAAUAUUGAUGUUUAGGUGUCUCAAUUUUAGAUGUUUCCUGGGAUUAUAAUCUUGGGGAGAAUGAGGCCAUAAACGACCAAAUUAAAACAGGUCUGCAAGUAUAUACACCUAAAACCAUUGUUAGGACUAUUUGUUUUAGUGCAAAGGUAUUUUAGAGAGGCACGCUCACAAUAUGGAACUUUAUGAGUUUUUAGUUUAUGAGUUUUAAUUAUACAAGUGAAUUUUUAUUUUAUGACCUAUUGAUCUUAUCGUGACUGUCUUCUGAGGUCUGAUCAGCCUCAGGGGAGAGUCAUUUGUAUAAUGAAUGUGGUCAUAUUGAGUUACUAGUUUUAAGGUAAAUUCAUUAUAAUGGAGUUUUGGUUGGGGGGGUUAGAAUUAUUGUUUGAACCGCAAAUGAGAAAGUGGUUCAGGAUUCUGUUUUACAACAUUAGCUGUUAAGUUUUUGAAUGGGCUAUUAAUGAUUUGGUAUUGUAACAGAGAAAAAGUCAUAUUUAUCAUUGCGAAUAAAUAGGGGAAGAUAGAUUAAGCCAAUAGGGCAGGGAAAUACAUAGAAAAUAAGUUGCGGUUUUUAGGGGUAAUACAUUACUGUAGAUAAGGUAUUCCACACUUUGCAACACAUAUUAAAUUAAUGUUAUUGUCAGAUAGGAGAGCGCUUGUUAGUGUAGGAAGGAUUGUGAUAUGGUUAGCAUUUAUUAGACGUUGUUUGAUUAUUAUACGUUUUUAAAUACUAUUACAUUUAACAGGAAUAUAGGACAUCUCUGAUUUAGGAUUAUUGUUAGGAUUAAGAUAGAUUGACUAAGGAAAAGUAAGGACUUUAGAGAAAAGCCGCUCAUAGACAUGUUUUUUCUAAAAUCAAUGAUUGUAGACAAAGUCAAACAGUUAGAAGCUUAGUGGAAUUUGAGAGAUAUGAGAGAAAAGGGUUAUCGGGAAUAUAUAUAUUUAAGAAAAUAUAUAAGUAGCACAGAUAGUUCUUAAAAAUAGAUAAGAAACUUGACAGAGUAUUGUUACAGGAUUGACAUGAAUGGACGCCCAAGGGAGAAUUGGACAUGUGGAACAUUUAAAAGGGGCUCCUACAUGAUGAUGUCAGACAUUAGGAUAAUUUACAAAUCUUGCCCAAAUCAUUGUUUAAGAGUAGGCAUGGUUGUUACCUGGUAACAACCAGGUAACAAAGGGGGGGAUGGGUAAAUUGUGUUCUAGAAUAGGAUGUGACCUACGGGAUAAUUAACAACAACAAAAAAAAUUAUUAGCUAACAAUCAGAACAAAUGAGAAACUGUUUGUUAACCUGUAUGUCCAAGAUUUUAUACACUACAGGUGAAUUACAGAUGAAGUCACUCAAUCCAGUCCCUGAGGCCUUUUGGGGGGACCAUACCAAAGACUCCUGGUGACAGCUAGCUGAAAGAGCUACCCGGAUUCAUAUUGCACUGCGGGAGGGUAAGACACAUGACACUGUCGAACAAUAACAGAGUUCGAGAGGAGAACUGAAAUUAAUAGAAUUCUGGGGGCCAUCUCUCGAAUGAAAAAUCUUCACUUCUAUGAACAACAACAGUGAGGAAAGGACAGGUAAGGUUGUCCUUUCCUCACUGUUGUUGUUCAUAGAAGUGAAGAUGUGUCUGGCUCUUGCUAAGUGAUGUGUUCUCGGAGAGGGUGGGGCUUCACAUGGAAGCUGUUCGUCUGAGCUGUCUUAUCGUGGGUGACAUGUUCCUGAUAAGCACGUCCUACUUCAGUAUGCGGAGAGUGGUAAUUUGACCCAUGGUUUAGACAAUGAGGAUUUUGUUCCAAAAUAAGCAUAAGAGAUCCCUAGAUCUGGGUAGACUGGAAGUUAGAGUAGAGGUUGGGAAGGAUCUCUCAAUCGAGUUUUAUGUAGACCAAAAUGGAGUCUCUAACUACAUGGCAGUCUGGGACACUGAGCCAUUAUGGGAUAUAUCGGUGCAGGUUCCCAUAUUGAUCGUGGACACAGGUCAUAGCUCAUUUGGAGAGAGAGGGCUAUAUGAAUCCACUCACUCAGUAUGGAAGGACAAAGUAUACAUUGAUAACAUUGGGGUUCCACGGACGUGGACUGGAUUAAUUAUAUUUAUUAUAAUCAACAGCGCUUUAACAAUUAUACCAGAGAUGCUAUUAAAUGUUUUGCAGAACAGACUGAAGCAACCAGCCUGGAUGGCUUGGCAGAAUAGAAUUGCAUUAGAUUUGUUAAUGGCUGAAAAGGGAGAAGUAUGCGUGAUUAUCAGGACCAUGUUUGUGCUUACAUCCCAAAUAACACAGCUUGGAGAAGAGGGUAUCCUUAUAGCAUAGGGGAUUCCACAAAGGUGGAUAGGUUUUCCAUGAUAUGGGGAAAACCUGGGAGCACUGUUGAACUCUGUAAAGGUGAUGAAAUCCUACUAACCAUCAAAACUAUUAAGCUCUCUGAUGCAGGCACUUACACCCUCGGACCACAAAGGACCGGGACAGACACGAUGGGUGUGUUUUCUAUUAAGGUGCUGCCAAAAAUAGAGGUCCCAGACGAACCAGGGCCAGACACACUCCUCUACCACCCCUGGACCGAACCUGCCACCGCUGUGUUAAAAAUCCCAUUCAGGUAAUUAAUGUUAGCACUGAGACUGGCGUUGAUGGUAGGGACAAUUUGUGGCCGUCUUAUAUGAGGUGUACAGCUAAGACCCUGAAAAGAAAGGACUGCAUGAGUUACAUGAAACAUUGGUCAUGCUAGACCUGUUUUGGCUACGCACCCAUUUGCUAUAGGAGAAGGAGAGGGGUGGCUGUGUAUUCUGAGAGGUUUUUACCAGGUUCAGCCCAAUUCAACUCUCUGUUCCUCUUUGAGCCUUGUGUUUCCUACAGUACCUCCUCAUCGGGCCCCUUGGGGUGUUAAGGCAUAUGGGGGCAAUUACAGUUGCAUCACGGGUACAGGUAAUGGCAUUGAUUAUGGGAGAUAGUCUGAAGCUGAUUGCAGUAGUAACAUACCAUUAAUGCCACUUGGCCAGUUGCAGGCCUAAACCAAACUAGUGGUCUGGCUGAUGUGUGGUGGAUCUGUGGACCAAAAAGAGUGCUGAGACCCAUUCUUAGAGGAGACUGGCAAGGUACGUGUGCUCUGACCAGUUUGAUAAUUCCACUGACCAUUGUUAAUGUUACUGCUGAGCAGCUGUUGGGUUCUGUAUCCAGGGGACCUGAAAACAUUCCAUCCCAUGGGAGACAUAGACGUAGUGCUCCAUGGACAGAGGAUGUAGUUGACAUACACACUAACCUGUUGGGAGUGCUAGUGGGGGUUCCUCAUGAGUUUCAGGCCCUGGGUAGGAAUGAUGGACUCUUACUAUCUAUUAUAGGUCCAGCCAUAGUGGAUGCAAGACAGGCUGCAAGGAUUAAUUAUAUCUACUAUAAUCAACAGCGUUUUGUGAAUUACUCCCGUGAUGCACUCACUGGUCUGUCUGAACAGCUUGAGGCCACAUCUGUGGUUGCCAAACAGAAUAGACUUGCUUUGGAUAUGCUUCUUGCCAGUCAGAGAGGCAUCUGCAAGAUGUUCGGUGAACAAUGUUGCACGUAUAUUCCUAAUAACACCAGUCCAGAUGGUAGUAUAUCUAAGGUCCUUAGUGGGCUUGAUGCACUAUCUACUGAGAUGAGGACCAUGGCGGGGGUGGAGGAGUCUGGACUGUUCUCUUGGUUGGGAGCCUGGUUUGGUAAGUACACUAGUGUUGUGGUUACUGAAUUUCUGACCCUAAUUCUUGUAUUUUUGUUAUUGAUGUGUUGUGCUGCUUGCGUCAUACCGUAUUUUAAGAAGUCUGUUACAGAUGUGGUGAAGGCUUCAGGCAUGAUGCCUUUGCUUGAUGCUCCAGUUGGAGAUGCUGAUACUGAAGCAUGCUUUCAGGGGAGGAUGAGAUUGACUGAGGAGGACCCAUGGUAUGCUGUGGGCGAACCAAGUAGCUGCAGGUUUUGAAUCCUCAAUCUGCUGGUGGUGCACAGUUAACAAAAAUGUAGAUCGUAUUAACUACAUUCAUUUUAAUGUCCAAAAACUAAGCAAUUGGACUCAGCAAGGAUUCGAAGCCGUGCAUGGUCAACUGGCAGCAACAUCUUUGAUGGCUUUCCAAAAUAGGAUUGCUGUUGACAUGUUAUUGGCUGAACGUGGUGGGGUUUGUGCUAUGUUUGGUGAGCAGUGUUGCACUUUUAUUCCCAAUAACACAGCGGCUGAUGGCAGUUUGACUGUGGCCCUGGAGGGACUUCGAACUCUUAAUGGGAAAAUGAAAUACCAUUCAGGUGUUGACACCUCUAUGUGGGAUUCCUGGAUGGAUGCUUUUGGUAAAUAUAAAACACUGAUCUCCUCUAUCCUAGUGUCCAUUGCUGUUUUUGUAGCUAUCCUAGCCCUUUGCGGCUGUUGUUGCAUUCCCUGUGCCUGCACAUUGGCCACUAGAGUGAUCACCACUGCCAUCACCCCACUGCCCAGUGAUCAGACCCACAUGUACCCCUUUUAGCGGCUGAUGACCCCGAUGAGGCGUUUCCAUCUUUUGAGGAACCCCUCUUCCUGUCUAUCCCUCUUGGCCACUCCAGGUGUAGCACUUGGAGUGGACUCCUUUUGGUCCUUGCUUAUUUACCUCGCAUAGCUCCAUACAAGGGGGCUUCUUGUUUUCGUUAUAGCCUCUUUCUCCUUUCUGCAAUAGUUUUCACGUCUUAGUAAACGUGAAGAGGGGGACUAAAUUUUUUUUGGUUCAUACCAAAUUGAUUGGUUGCUUCAUGUUUUGGUUCUAUUGUUCACGUCUAGUAGACGUGAAGAGGGGGAUUUGUUAUAUAAAUAUUCAUACACAUGGCUCAUAUAUUAUACAGCGCUAAGCUAAUCUGCCUGACUCAAGUCAUUUCUUGUACCCCUGCUAAAACAGGAACCAGGACACAUACCCAGCAAUAAACUACCCCCUCAGCUCUGUUGUCUCAGCUCUGUUGUUUCAGGACCCCUCUGAUCUCUGGUCUCACUGUCCCCUGACACACACAUACCCAGCAAUAAACUACCCCCCUCAGCUCUGUUGUCUCAGCUCUGUUGUUUCAAGACCCCUCUGAUCUCCGGUCUCCCUGUACCCUGACACACACAUACCCAGCAAUAAACUACCCCCCUCAGCUCUCUGUUGUUUCAAGACCCCUCUGAUCUCCGGUCUCACUGUCCCCUGACACACACAUACCCAGCAAUAAUCUAC